rnacentral:rRNA from 1 species
AUACGGAGACUACGAGCGUUACUCGGAUUCACUGGGCGUAAAGGGAGCGCAGGCGGAAUGAUGUGUUAGGUGUGAAAUCCCGGGGCUUAGCUCCGGAACUGCGCCUAAAACUAUCAAUCUAGAGUAUUGGAGAGGCAAGCGGAAUUUCUGGUGUAGCGGUAAAAUGCGCAGAUAUCAGAAGGAACACCGAAGGCGAAGGCAGCUUGCUGGACAAUAACUGACGCUCAUGCUACG